GCCAGUGCAAGGGUUUUAGCCAAGGAGGAAUACUUUUACCGCUUCACUUCUCAUUUCUCCGCCAUGAUUACAAAAUCUCUAUCAAUUCCCACAAAUCUUCCAUUCUCAUCCCUUAACACCCGCUUCCAUCCCCAAUUCCAAUCGCCACUCCUUUUCCCCCUCCAAUCCUCUCCCUUUCUAUUCCAUCAAACAACUCAAUUCCUCACUAAUCCAUUUCCCAAAUGUCAAAACCCCUGCAACUCAUCACCAUCCACCACUCAACAUCAACAAGAAGACCAACUCAAAGAUACCCAUGAAGCCAUUUUCCACUUCCUCCAAGACUUUGGAAUAUCCAACGAGGAUUCCAGUUCCAUUGCUUCAAAUUGCCCUAAAUAUGCUAAGAUGCUCAUUGAUAGUGUGAAAGAUUUGGACGACUGGAAUGCAUGGGAAACUGCCGGAAAGGAAUUUGUUGAUUUGGGGUUCAAGGGAAAAGUGAUUUAUAUGGCCAAGGAUAAAGGUGAUAAUGGCAAGCUUGCUUUUCUUGAGAGUCUUGGAUUGAGUUUGUCUUCGGCUAUGAAUGUUGCUCGAUACAUCACCAAUGAGUCGCUUCCGGCUCUUAUCAACAAGGUUAAGUAUAUGAAGGAAAUGUUAUUUUCUGGCAGUGAUGAUAAAGGCCUCCUUGGAAAAAAUGCUCGACGUGUGAUGAAGCAUUUAUCUAUACCUAUUGAUGAUGAUUUGCAGCAGACCUUGUCCUUUUUCGAAAAGAUUGAAGCAAGACGAGGUGGUUUAGACAUGCUUGGUUCCUCUGAUGCCUCUUUUCGAUGCUUAGUUGAGUCAUUUCCACAAAUUCUUUUGUUGUCAUUAGACUCACACUUGAAGCCUAUGAUCGAACUUCUUGAAAGUAUUGGAAUCCCAAGGGAACGCAUGGGUAGCAUAUUCUUAUUAUUCCCACCUAUUAUGUUAUGUGACAUUAAGGGCAUUGAAAGAAAAGUUCUGGCUCUUAAGAAGGUUAUUGCAGUAGAUGAAGAUUUUGGAAAAAUAAUACAAAAAUAUCCAUGGAUUCUUUCAACAAGCAUUCAAGAUAACUACAAGGAGAUUGUUUAUUUGUGUGAUAUGGAGAAGGUUGCAAAAGUGAGCAUUGACAAAGCAAUCAGAACCUGGCCUCUUGUUUUGGGUUGUUCAACAAGCAAGCUGAAGGUGAUGUUGGAACAGUUUGGAGUGCUAGGUGUUAAAAAGAAGAAGUUGGGACAGGUUAUUGCUAAAAGUCCUCAAUUACUGCUAAGAAAACCUGAAGAAUUUCUCCAGGUGGUUUCAUUUUUGAAAGAUCUAGGAUUUGAUCAGGAAACUGUGGGCAAGAUACUUGUUCGUUGUCCUGAGGUUUUUGCUACUAGCAUUGAGAAAACGCUACGGAUGAAAGUUGAAUUCCUUACUUCUAUUGGUGUUUCUGAGGAUCAUCUCCCUCGCAUUAUUAAAAAAUAUCCAGAGCUUCUUGUGUCUGACAUCUACAAAGCAUUCCUUCCCAGGCAUAUAAUCUUUCGUGCUGACCUUGUGAAGUAGUUUGGUAAAAUUGUUUUUUUGCCCUAGUCAAGUUCCUGUAAGGUAUUACUGAAAAUAAUCUCAAGAACAAGAUGUAGACGUCCUGAAUUUAUUGUAAGAACUGGCAUUAGACUUUAUAUGAAUGGUUCCAAUGACAUUUCUAGUAAAAAUUAGGUUACGAGACAAUUUCCCUUUUGACUGCAAUCACUUUGGGUGGUAAAAUUUUAUAAGAAUUGGAUCAAGUGAUGGUGAGCAUCAUUGAAUUGUAGUGACAACCUUGUGUCAGUGUGGUAUAACUAGAGUUCCAAAACCUAGAUUGUUCCCUCACCUACAGAGAGAGAGAGGAUCAGUUCAUAGGUUAAUCUUUCUGAUGCCUAAUUUUGGGAUGAAAACCAAACAUUUGUCAUAAUCACUGCUGCUUAAGUUUCAGUUUGAAGGUUGAGUCAAUACUCCCUUGAUUGGUGUUCUGAUCUAAUCCAGCUGUAAUGAUGGCAGGAUAGAGUACUUGAUGGAAGUAGGACUCUCGAAGAGAGAGAUUCUUUUCAUGGUCCGCAGGUUCUCUCCUUUGCUAGGGUACAGCAUCAAUGCAGUUUUGAGACCGAAGUAUGAAUUCCUGGUGAAUACAAUGGAAAAACCAGUGAAAGAUGUAGUGGAUUAUCCACGUUAUUUUAGCUAUUCACUGGAAAAGAAGAUAAAGCCGAGAUUCUGGGUGCUGAAGGGAAGGAAUGUGGAGUGCAGCUUAAAAGAUAUGCUUGAUAAAAAUGAUGAGGAGUUUGCUGCCAAGUUUAUGGACGCAGGAGGAAUGCCUGUUUCCUCUUCUCCUUCACAACCAUGAACAGAUAACAGCUUGUCAGUAAAUAUAAAUACGACAGUUGUUGAGGAAAAGAUGGUAAAUUAUCGGAUUUACAGACGUGGAAUGGAUGCGUAUAAAAAGAGUUUUGAGUAAUGGAUUUAUGAUUUGCUAUUUGCUUCCACAAGCAACCAAAUGAGAUUGUGAUCUGAUGAGAAAGUGUCCGGCCACUGAAGUUCAAAUUUUUCCACAGAAACUGCCACUAAACCGUUAGCAUUAACACACCCGCUCUCCUUUCGGCCUCUCCCUUUCCCUGGCUGGACCUCUCUUGGGUUUCAGAAGGGCAUCAUUAUAAACUUUUUAAGAAAUGGGGACCAUCGUAAGCAAAGCUGCAAAUGGCCUUGGAGGUGUCCUUGCUAAUGUUUUUACUGCUCCUUUCAAGACUAUUCUUGGAGCAUCAUGUGAGUAAGUAUACUCUCUUAUCAUUAGUAUACUCUAUUAUCAUUCUUAAAUUAAUAAUUAUUUACAAGUAGCAAGUCUUUUUAAUCAUUCUCCGUUAAUGUGGGCAGGAACCCUAACAAAUCACCAUGAAUUUCUACCACUUAAGCAUUUAAUGCAUUUGCACAAGUCAUGAACUAGGAUGUCUGGGCUAUUAUGUUCCAUUUUUCCAUCAUAACCAUAAAUAUCAGUUCAUUUCCUUAAUCUUUGUUACUAGAAUGAAACAACUGCCAUGAAUCUGCAGGGAUACUUGUGUUGGGCCAUGGGAUGUAAUCUGUUUUAUUGAGCACUUGUGUGUCUCUAAUCUGGUGAAGUUGUUACUGAUUUUGAGCCUCUGCUACAUAAGUAAGUUUUUUUAUUAUUUUCUUUCAUUUUUUUUCUCCUUUCCAUAAGAUUCAUGCAAGAAGCCGAAGAAAUACAAAUCAUAAGCUUCAAUACGCUAGCUUCUGUUUGUUACUUUCUUUUAACAUUAGAGUUACCUUUUUUAAAUAGUUUAAGUGCAUCACAUGUUCACAAUUUUGUGGAGGCUAAGUACUCUUGUACUGUUCAGGUUUUGAUACAUUUUGUAGCAUUUCUUUUCUGUGAUGAAUCUGAUUUAGUGCUUGAUUAUUAAUGUUUGGAUCUGGCUUAAUCCUCAAUUGUUAUCCUUUAUUUUUGAGAAAUAUUUUCUCUAUAGUUGGGAAAGGGUGGAGGAGCACUGGGGGAAAUUUUAUUGUAAGAGUCGAGAUCUUCUUUAGAGAGAAAGGCAUGACUAUUCAAAUUUUAUCACGUGUCUAAAGAAAGUGUUUAGUUGUGAAUGUAGCAGUACCAUCAUUUUUAGCUUUAUAUUUCAUGUAGUUACUAUUGAAGAAAAUGUUGAGAAUCAUAAUGCGUCUAUGCUCUAGUAUGAUCGAUCAACCUUAACACACCGCAUGCAUCAGGGUGAACAAUGGAUUUUUAGAUGGUUAGCUGCUGUAUUAGAUAAGGGAAAAUAUUUUUCUUCCUUUUCCCCUGGGAUAUAACUGAAAUUUCGAAUCUUCCUUUUGUUGCUGGCAGCUUUGAUGUUCUUCUACCUAUUGUUCAAGGUGGGGAUUUGUCAGUGUAUAGGAAGAAGCAUUUGUAAGAUGUGUUGGGCAGCGUGUGAGACAUAUUGGUUCUCAUUACAAUAUAUUACCUGUUUUGUGUGGCACAAGUUAAAGAACACAAAACGUGUACAUCGUAGACAUUUUCGAGACAUUGAAAAAGGGUUUACUUCAAGCUCUGAAAGUGACUAUUCAGAUAACUGUCGUCAUGUUGUUAGAAAGAAAAGGUCGGCAAGGGAAGGAAGAAAGUUUCAGUUGCAGAGCUCUCGUUAUCCUUCAAGUAGGUAUGGAAACCAUAGUCGCCAUCGAUACCAUCACCAUCAUUUAAGGUUGAAAACUAGGGAAAUAUCUGCCCAUGUUAAGUGUGGAACCCGAAGGCUAAGGAAUUCAAGACGGUUGCAACUAAUAAAAUUAAAAAAUCAUAGAAGAGAUCUUGGAAUUUUCAAGAGGAGACAGAGGAGAGGCAUGAGGUGAUCAAGAGAGAAUCUGAGGUGAACAAGCUAGUAAAAGUUAUGAAUGUUGAAGUGUCUGGGUGGGACAGAGAGUCACAAGAGUCUGAAACAAUAUUGCAGAGGUUAAAAUGACAGCACAUGUAAAUCAAACUGAUUGAUGUACCAUAUUUGUUUGUGCAUUUAUUUAUAAGUAAGCAGAUUGAAGACCUAGUUGCUUGAUGAUCCUAACAUACACUCUCUACAUACGUUUUAUAUGGCUCCAAAAGCAGCUUUCCUUUCCAUUCUGUACGAGAUUAAAACUUGGAUUAAACCUCUAGUAUGUAAUGAAUAGCAAAGGAUUUUCCGUUGGCAUAAAAA
rnacentral:misc_RNA from 1 species